UACGUAGGGUGCGAGCGUUAAUCGGAAUAACUGGGCGUAAAGGGCGCGUAGGCGGCCAUCUAAGUCAGACGUGAAAUCCCCCGGCUUAACCUGGGAACUGCGUCUGAUACUGGACGGCUCGAGUAUGGGAGAGGGAUGUAGAAUUCCAGGUGUAGCGGUGAAAUGCGUAGAUAUCAUGAGGAAUACCAGAGGCGAAGGCGGCUACCUGGACAAUUGCUGACGCUCAGGCACGAAAGCGUGGGGAGCAAAAGGG
rnacentral:rRNA from 1 species